CCUACGGGGUGCAGCAGUAGGGAAUCUUCCACAAUGGGCGAAAGCCUGAUGGAGCAACGCCGCGUGGGUGAAGAAGAUCUUCGGAUCGUAAAACCCUGUUGUUAGAGAAGAAAGUGCGUGAGAGUAACUGUUCACGUUUCGACGGUAUCUAACCAGAAAGCCACGGCUAACUACGUGCCAGCAGCCGCGGUAAUACGUAGGUGGCAAGCGUUAUCCGGAUUUAUUGGGCGUAAAGGGAACGCAGGCGGUCUUUUAAGUCUGAUGUGAAAGCCUUCGGCUUAACCGGAGUAGUGCAUUGGAAACUGGGAGGCUUGAGUGCAGAAGAGGAGAGUGGAACUCCAUGUGUAGCGGUGAAAUGCGUAGAUAUAUGGAGGAACACCAGUGGCGAAAGCGGCUCUCUGGUCUGUAACUGACGCUGAGGUUCGAAAGCGUGGGUAGCAAACAGGAUUAGAUACCCUAGUAGUC
rnacentral:rRNA from 1 species